rnacentral:rRNA from 1 species
AUCUACGGCCAUGCCACCCUGAACAAGCCUGAUGUCUGAUCUUGGAAGCUAAGCAGGGUCGGACCUGGUUAGUACUUGGAUGGGAAACCGCCUAGGAAGACCAGGUGCUAUAGGCA